rnacentral:rRNA from 1 species
UGGGGAAUAUUGCACAAUGGGGGAAACCCUGAUGCAGCGACGCCGCGUGAGCGAUGAAGGCUUUCGAGUCGUAAAGCUCUGUCCUAUGGGAAGAUAAUGACGGUACCAUAGAAGAAAGCCCCGGCUACUUACGUGCCAGCAGCCGCGGUAAUACGUAAGGGGCGAGCGUUGUCCGGAAUUAUUGGGCGUAAAGAGUGCGUAGGCGGCAAAUUAAGUCAGAUGUGAAAACUAAGGGCUCAACCCAUAGAUUGCAUCUGAAACUGAUAUGCUUGAGUCAAGGAGAGGAAAUUGGAAUUCCUAGGGUAGCGGUGGAAUGCCUAGAUAUUAGGAGGAAUACCGGUGGCGAAGGCGACUUUCUGGACUUGAACUGACGCUGAGGCACGAAAGCGUGGGGAGCAAACAGG